UUCGGCACCUCACCAGGCCUGUCUCGACGAUACGUCUACACAAGCUAAAAGAACCAAGUUGUCAUUUGUCAAUGUUUACCUUCAAGGUGACAAGGAUCUACUAUACUUUACAUAAGAGUGAGUUGUGUGUGAUUGCACGGAUGAAUAUACAUUGUGUGUAUUUGUGUGACAUUGUGAUCCUCGCGUUCGACGAGGCUGGCAGGUCUGGCCUCUCGUCGUCGGGGGGAGGGGGGAGGAGACAAAAAUGUGAAACUGUGCUGCACUCGACAACACUAUUUUCACUAUGCCGAUCCGCGAGCGGAUCGUCCAAGUGACGUCGAUGGAAAAACUUGUGCGAUAGUUUCUCUUUUGUUCUUUACUGGCACGGACAAACGGAAUGUGAGAAACAUCGGAAAGUAAUUGUGCGAUUGUACCGUGAAAAGGUCUCUCAUGCCGAGGACAACACGACGAUCGGACGAGACGGUGUCGACGAUUCAAGGAAUUCAAGCGAGAAUUCUGCUCGAGAGCUGUGGUACACGCGGGGAGUAUAAAAAUACGUAGUAAUCGAAUACAAAAUAAUUGGGACGUUGUUACACGUUGUGGAUAACUCGGGCUCGAUUGAUUCUCAUCUCCUCCGAGUGCGAGAACCCGUGGAUGACGACGUCGUGGUUUACGAGGCCGAGGAGCAUUGCGGUGUGAUAUGUAGAAAAUUGGUCAUUUCCGACUGAGCUUGAGAAGCGGACGGAUGACGCACUGCAUUACCGCAUAGUAAUAUUUAUACCGCACGUUGAGUCCAACAUACACACGCUAAUAAUGAUAAUACUAUAUUCUUUCCCUCAUUCUCUUCCUCGGGAUACGAACGGAUAUCCAGAUAUUUCCCUGCGGGCUCGAUUAUUCCGCGCGAAACCGAACCGAAUUUCUCUUGAUUUCCGACCGGAAAGUCGACAAGAUCUACGCGAACGACAACGAACACAUCACCGAUUCGAGCUUGGCUCUUUCUCGAAUGCCAGAUGUGUUAAUACUUUUGCAUUCGGUAUAACCGUAUAAAAAACAAUACAUUUACAGAGAGUCCCACAGCCGAAUAAAAAGUACACGAGCUCUCGGCCUGUCCUCGACGUCUAAGCCCUUCGUCUUCGCGCAGCUGAGGGGAGGGGGAUUACGCGCGCGUUCAGAGAAGCAAUUCGGACGAAUGCGCUCGGCGACGUCGACCACGACAUUGUCCGGCUCGCACACAUCUGGAUCUCGGAAUGGAUGUGGAAAAGAAGCGAGAGUGCCGGCUCGAUACAUCAGGCGGUUUUAACAUCGAGACAAAGCGCAGCUUGACGGCUGUUUGUGUUAGCGGCUCUCUCUCGGCUUGGAUAUACCGCGCGCGACAUAGAAAUUUUUUGGCACAUGCAAAACCGAGCAUUUCGGUGUAUUGGGCGAAUACACCUUCUUGUCCUGAUGCGCUUUCCGCUCGAUGCGGCCUCUAUCUCAAGAUCGGACACGUCCAACAUGCCACAGUGGUAGCGAGCAGUCGAAGGGCUCGCCACCGGGAGCGACCCGAUCCGCGACCGGUCAAUCCGGCCGGUCGCUCUGCGAGUGCAACCGGGUGCAACAAAAGGUAUUUUCUGUCCGCGGGUCGCCCGGCCGAUCGCUCAGCCCCUCGACAGUCGUUACGAGCCAUAGCUACGAAACUUAUACGCAGUCAGAGCGCACGAUGCGGUACGAUGCUACCGGACUGCGUCAUCACUGCGUUGGAAAACACGUAUGUACAUAAAGCUUAGCACAUUCUGCGCUCUCGAGGUUACUCCUUGCCAGAAGGUUCUACGCAUCGAUAAACUGCAAAGUGUCAAAGAGAUCACAUUUUACCGUCAAUGAACAGAACUGGCAGCCCUACUAACCGCCGUACGAGCAGCGGUCGUUCAGCGAAAAUCUGGAAGCAGACUAGGUACACCGCCAGAACAAUGACCAGAAAUUCGAUUAAAGGCAGAGUAGCGGCCACGCUGAUCACUAUCGCCUCGUUCUCCUUUAUGGCGUUUACUAUGGCCUUGUAGCAACCCUGCAAAUAAACGGGCAUUUUUGUACAAAG